AAGAGUAUUUUGUAGAGGUAAAAAACAAAACAAAAAUAAGAGAGAACACGAGGCACCGGCGCAACAAUAUUGAAACAGUUGGUUUUUGGGCAGGUGUUGGAUAGGGUCGAAAGGGGUUUCUGACAGCUUACAAGGUAAUCACUAUCGUGAUCAGCAAAGUAUUCGAUGACAAUCCAAUCCUCUGUGUACGGCAGAAAGCGCAGCGAAGAACACUCCAGCAACAGAUCGCGAUAGUGAUCGAUGCGUUGCGGCACGGGCAGUUCACGCAUUUUGAAAUAACAUGGAAUUUGGGAGCUCUCAAAUUGUUUGGCUGUCAGCUGGGACUUUUCCAAAUAGCGCUUAAAAAACAGCAUCGUAUCGGGCGGUGAUUUGAUAACUGAUUGAGGGGCACACUACACACAUUAAAGAUACAAACUUGCAAGAAAUUUGGCAAGCAGAGAGCGAAUACGCCAGCUGUGAUUCUGAUAUGUGAGAUUUUCAAUUAUUGUUUGAUUGCUCAGCCCAAAUCGUUCGUUUGUUUUGUUGGGUGUUGUUUUAGAAAAUGAAAAGUUUUUACCUUAGCUUGCGAUUGGCGAUUGUUGCGCCCGCUGUCGCGCUCAUCCUUGGCGCGAUCGCGAUGCCGGCGCCGUGAGCUGGAGUGUGAGGUCUCCUCCCUAUAACGGUACUUAUGCUGCCGCCGGCCAGUGACGGGCGAUUUGCGAUGCGAGCGCUUGGAACGCUCCUUGCGCCGCCGGGACGACGAGA